rnacentral:rRNA from 1 species
CCUACGGGAGGCAGCAGUGAGGAAUAUUGGACAAUGGGCGCAAGCCUGAUCCAGCCAUGCCGCGUGCAGGAUGACGGUCCUAUGGAUUGUAAACUGCUUUUAUACAGGAAGAAACCCUGGUUCGUGAACCAGCUUGACGGUACUGUAAGAAUAAGGAUCGGCUAACUCCGUGCCAGCAGCCGCGGUAAUACGGAGGAUCCAAGCGUUAUCCGGAAUCAUUGGGUUUAAAGGGUCCGUAGGCGGUUUAAUAAGUCAGUGGUGAAAGCCCAUCGCUCAACGGUGGAACGGCCAUUGAUACUGUUAAACUUGAAUUAUUAGGAAGUAACUAGAAUAUGUAGUGUAGCGGUGAAAUGCUUAGAGAUUACAUGGAAUACCAAUUGCGAAGGCAGGUUACUACUAAUAUAUUGACGCUGAUGGACGAAAGCGUGGGUAGCGAACAGGAUUAGAUACCCUGGUAGUCCACGCCGUAAACGAUGGAUACUAGCUGUUGGGAGCAAUCUCAGUGGCUAAGCGAAAGUGAUAAGUAUCCACCUGGGGAGUACGUUCGCAAGAAUUGAAAUCAAAGGAAUUGACGG